rnacentral:rRNA from 1 species
AGCUCCCAGCCGGCGGCCAUGGCGGAUCCUCCUGCUCUCCUCCCUGGCCUCCCCGAUGAGAUCUCCAUGUGGGAGAUCCUCCUCCGCCUGCCGCCCAAAUCCCUCCUCCGUUGCCGUGCCGUCUGCCGCGCCUGGCGAGGCGCCACCUCCACCCGCAACUUCCUUCUCGCCCACCACGCCCGCCAGCCCACCCUCCCCAUCCUCCGCGGCUACAACAACGUCAACGGCCUGUCCCUAGAUGUCACCCUCUUCGACCACCGGGCGGGGGUCGCCGCCGCCGACCGGCUCCAGUCCGUCGCGCGGCUUGGAGUUGGGCACGCCAACUUCACUCUGGAGAGCUGCUGCGACGGCCUCCUCGCCCUCUCCAUCGACGACGACUCCUUGUGCAUCUGCAACCCAGCAACUCGUCAGUAUGCUCCCCUCCCGCUGCUUUCUCAAUUCCAUCUCAUGGGGAUGUACCAGCACACCCCUACCGGCCACUACCGACUAUUGCUGGCACCUAAGGAGGCUAAAGCUCAGGAUGGCGCCUACAUCUACACCUUAGGCUCCAGCCAGCCGCCGAGGCUCAUAGACAUACAGUGCUCCCAUGUGGACCAAGUGAUAUGGGCCUACGGAAUUGUCAUGUUCCAUGGUAGUAUCCAUUGGUGCAUAGACAACAUGAUAAUUGUAUUUGACACAACCGCCGAGUCGUUCCGGCAGAUGCGCACUCCGGUUGAUCCUGACGGCGCUGACCUGUUUGAGAUGGAUGGAAUGCUCAGCAUGUCCAUCUUUAAUGAUGCAAAAACAUCCAUUGAUAUCUGGAUGGCACGGGACUAUGAAAGUGAGAUCUGGACCUUGAAAUACCGGGUUGAAUUGCCGCUUGCAGAGCUUACCAAUCAGUUUGGAAAAUUCGACGAACUUUGGUGGCUGGUGAUCAUGUCUGAUGAAGGUGAUGUGCUUGUGCUGGUCAAAUUUGAUGAGUCGGUACUUCAGAUUGAUAUGGAUGGCAAGUUGGUUGCUAGUAUACAUUGCGGAGACCUCGGUACUACUCGACUUUGGUUCAAACAAACUCUAGUUUCACAUACAUUCUUUCCAACACUAGAGGGUUAUGUUGUGAAUGCUCCGCCUUUCAUUUGA